CACUCCUCACUGCCUUUAGAGAAGAUCUGGAGAAGAUCUGUGGAGAAACACAUUCCUUAGGCUUCUUCUGGAUUUCUACUUUGUGCUCCACUUACAUGAAUAGGGAGCCACAAGUGCCAAGUUAUUAGGGCUAACCAGAGACGUGAGACCACGAUGGAACACUAUCCAGACUGACAUGACGCUCUCAGUGGAUUUCAUGGCCCAGGAGGGUACUGACGUGUCUUGAAAAAUGGGAUAGGCACAUAUUCUAGAUUUGGAUUUGCAUUUUUGGUAAUGGAAACAAAUACUUCAAAUAUCAUCAGAGGAUUAGAACAAAAAUAUUUUAAUGGGCUCUCUGUUUAUGUAUCCUCAUAUCGAGGGAUGCCUUUUACUGCCUUACACCAUAAAUCCAAAAAAAAGAAAAGAUUAAUAUAUUACCUGGAGUGAUUAAUUCUAAUUACCAAAGAGCAAAUUAGAUUGCAUCUAUAGAAUGGAAGGUAGUAGACUGUGUUGGAAAUGCAGGGUAUUCUCUGAGGUACCUCUUAGUACUUUCCAUGCCCAACAGUAAAGGUUAAUAGAAAAGUAUACCAAUGAAAAAAGAUGCUAAAUCCACAGCAGGAUUCUAAAUCUUUAACAGGAUGAAUGAGAAUUCAGACCCUUUAGGAAUAAAGGUUUUGGUUACUCUACCAACUUUUGACAAAGUUGGAAGAUAUAUGGCACAUAUCAAUUAUGAACUAGUAAACAAUUAUAGGCAUUUAAACUAGUAGCUUUGAAUAUUUUCUAUUUGCUUUUUAUAUGCAAGAUUUUAUUUCUAUAUACUAUAAUUUUCUUUUCUCUCCUUUCAAUUUUUAUUUUAUAUAUACAUAAUUAGAAAUUAACUUCAUAAUUUAGUCUCUAGGUGACAGAAUUAUUCAAUGGGACUGUGACUGAAUUUGAGGAAUAGGUAAUAUAUCCAGCAAUGCAUAUAAUGACUGUUGGAACUGUGCAUCUUGUUACUGUUGGGAAAAAUUGAAAAUUUCUUCCUUUGUAUGAAGAAUAGUUUUAGCAUUUAAAAUUCGGUUGUUUCAUUGUUGUAAGAGAAUUCAAAAUGUAUAUAAAAGGGUCUAUAUGGAAGUUGAGUAGUCAAAGGUGUGAGUCUUGCUGGUAAUCAACUUAUUGUGACUCAGUUACCAACUCAUGCUUUUUGGCUUGCUCUGUGAAAGUGGAUCUGGCCCCUGUAAAUGCCUUUGUCAGCAGGAAUGAUGCUCAAUUUUGUUAGCAGGAAAAGAAUGAAGAAAAAUUGCAAGAAGUAAGUUGCAUGUUUUUUUUUUAAAUUGAGGUGAAAUUCACAUAACAUAACAUUAGCAUUGUAACCAUUUUAGAGUGGCUUCCAGUACUUUCACAAUGUUGUGCAGCUCUCACUUCUAAUUACAGAAAUUUUCAACACCUUCAAAAGAAACCCUGUACCUAUUGAACAGUUGUUCCCCACUUUUCCUUUCCCUUCACCCAUGGCAGCCACUUAUCUUCUUUCUGUCCUAUGGAUUUGCCUAUUUUGGACAUUUCAUAUAAAUGGAAUAAUAAAAUGUGUCUUUUGCUGUC